GACGAACGCUGGCGGCGUGCCUAAUACAUGCAAGUAGAACGCUGAAGAGAGGAGCUUGCUCUUCUUGGAUGAGUUGCGAACGGGUGAGUAACGCGUAGGUAACCUGCCUUGUAGCGGGGGAUAACUAUUGGAAACGAUAGCUAAUACCGCAUAACAAUGGAUGACACAUGUCAUUUAUUUGAAAGGGGCAAUUGCUCCACUACAAGGUGGACCUGCGUUGUAUUAGCUAGUAGGUGAGGUAAUGGCUCACCUAGGCGACGAUACAUAGCCGACCUGAGAGGGUGAUCGGCCACACUGGGACUGGGACACGGCCCAGACUCCUACGGGAGGCAGCAGUAGGGAAUCUUCGGCAAUGGGGGCAACCCUGACCGAGCAACGCCGCGUGAGUGAAGAAGGUUUUCGGAUCGUAAAGCUCUGUUGUAAGUCAAGAACGGGCGUGAGAGUGGAAAGUUCACACUGUGACGGUAGCUUACCAGAAAGGGACGGCUAACUACGUG
rnacentral:rRNA from 1 species